rnacentral:rRNA from 1 species
AUUGAACGCUGGCGGCAGGCCUAACACAUGCAAGUCGAACGAGUGGCGGACGGGUGAGUAAUGUCUGGGAAACUGCCCGAUGGAGGGGGAUAACUACUGGAAACGGUAGCUAAUACCGCAUACUAUCGGAUGUGCCCAGAUGGGAUUAGCUAGUAGGUGGGGUAACGGCUCACCUAGGCGACGAUCCCUAGCUGGUCUGAGAGGAUGAUCAGCCACACUGGGACUGAGACACGGUCCAGACUCCUACGGGAGGCAGCAGUGGGGAAUAUUGCACAAUGGGCGCAAGCCUGAUGCAGCCAUGCCGCGUGUAUGAAGAAGGCCUUAGGGUUGUAAAGUACUUUCAGCGGGGAGGCGUUACUCGCAGAAGAAGCACCGGCUAACUCCGUGCCAGCAGCCGCGGUAAUAC